GUGGGGAAUCUUGCGCAAUGGGCGAAAGCCUGACGCAGCCAUGCCGCGUGAAUGAUGAAGGUCUUAGGAUUGUAAAAUUCUUUCACCGGGGACGAUAAUGACGGUACCCGGAGAAGAAGCUCCGGCUAACUUCGUGCCAGCAGCCGCGGUAAUACGAAGGGGGCUAGCGUUGCUCGGAAUUACUGGGCGUAAAGGGCGCGUAGGCGGACAGCUUAGUCAGAGGUGAAAGCCCAGGGCUCAACCUUGGAAUUGCCUUUGAUACUGGCUGUCUUGAGUUUGGGAGAGGUGAGUGGAACUCCGAGUGUAGAGGUGAAAUUCGUAGAUAUUCGGAAGAACACCAGUGGCGAAGGCGACACACUGGCUCAUUACUGACGCUGAGGCGCGAAAGCGUGGGGAGCAAACAGGAUUAGAAACCCCGGUAGUCC
rnacentral:rRNA from 1 species